UUUUGCAGGAUAUGGUUUGUGUUGAUUUAUGGAGAUAAAGGUGGUGUUGAAGGUGUAUGAGUGAUGUAGAAGUUUUAGAGAUGGAUGUUUAUGAGAAAAUGAUAGUGAUGUUGUUUGAAUGAAAAUUAUUUUAUUAUUUCUUUUUGUUGGAAAAUAUACGUGAGAUAUGAAUUACAUUUGAGUGUCCUAUUGUGAAUAUUUUU
rnacentral:lncRNA from 1 species